UUGAUUUUUCCUGUGAAAAAUUGUUUUAAGCCUUUUAUCUCUACUAAGGUGAAUUUUAGUACAUUGCAUUUUUCAAGGAUGCUAUCCAAUUAUUUAAUUUUUCAAAUAUAUUUGUAUAGAGUCAAACAAAAUAGUCUGUAAGAAUCUUUUAAAAUUUACUUUGUUUCAAGGUUAUUUCCCCCAUAACAUUUUUAAAUUCAUAUAUCUGUGCUUUCUCCUUUUUUUUCUGAGUUAGAUUAGGUGGUAGUUUAUCUAGUUUAUUAAUUUUUCCUCAAGAACAAGCAUUUUGAUUGAUUUAUCAAUUUUGUUAUAUUUUUGCUUGCUGUUUUAUUAAUUUCUACUUCUAUAUUUUAAAAAAUUUUUCUUCUGCUUCCCCCAUCCCCUACCUACUUUUCUGAGUUGGGAAUUUAAUUCAUUUAUUUUUAUUUAUCUAAGUAUCAUAAGUAUGUAGAGCUAUGUAUUUUCCUAUAGUCACUGUUUUAAUUGUAUCUCAUAAAUGUCUUAGGAAGAGUUCAUGAAUAUUUUCUGAGUUUCCAUCUGUAUCAAACUGUUUCCCUAUAGGCUUGGUACUUUAAAAACAGUCUGCCUACAUAUAACACUCUGGGCUCAUAUUUUCCUUUUUUGAGUUUCUUAAAACUGUUCUUGCACAGUUUUCUUGCUUUGUAUGCUGUUUUAUGAUCUUAUUUCCUUUGUAAGUGAUUUGGCCUUUUUUGCUUGGAUGCCCAGAAGAUUGCUUGUAUAUAUUUAAUGUCUAAUAGGCCUAUUAUACUGUGUCUUAGAUGUAUGUCUAUAUAUUACAAUUGACCAUUCUGGGUUAGUCUUCUUAGGUACACAAAUAUAUCCAAGUUUUCUUUUAUUUAUACAAAGUUUUAUUGGAUUGUGGUUUAAUAUGUGAUUAAAUAUGUGAUUUCUCUCAUUUCAUUGUUUUUGUUUUUCUUGCCAGAAACCCAAAUGAUAAUGCCCAGUCUUCUUUCUCUCUGAUGGUUUUCACCUUAUUUAUUUUGUUUUCAUUUUCUUGGAAUUUUUCAUAUAUUUUUAAACUUCUGCUUUGAGAGAAAUCAAUUUUCUCUUGAGUACUUUGAAAUUAUUCUUCCUACAUAAGAUGUUUUUGCCUUUUUCUUUAAUUUCCCUCCUGGGGACUAUCUUUUUUUCGUAUAUUACUUUAUUUAAUUCUGCUUUUCUGAUUUAACAUUUUUUCUUUUUGCAAAAUAUUUGUUUAAAAUAUUUAAUUCAAGAUGGGGUGUUAUGUUACAGAUUGUUUUCAGAGCCUCCAGUUAAAUUGGGGUUCCAGCACCUGUGUGGAUAGCUAAGGGGAAAUGAAGGGGAGCUGGAUAUGGUUGUUUACAAGGUGUCUUUCACGGGACACAUCUUUUACCUGGCAGACAGCCUAGUGUCUAGUUGUCUAACCUGUGACCAGGAAGAUUUCUCACACAGGAAACUUGUUUAUACUGGCAGAUGCCCUUUUGGCUCUUGUCUGACCUGUGUUCAGUUUAUGCCUGCCUGACCAUUGCUCUGGUUCUGGGAGCUCAACUUUGUGCUUCCCCGUCCCAUGUCAGGGAAAGAUAGGCCUGGCGUAGCCCCUGAUUCUUCAGAUGGAAGGUGGGAAUUCAAUACUCCAGCACAAAAGGAAACAAUUAAAAGAUUGUACUUACAAAUCUUGGGCAAGGAAGGUGGGAUGGCAGUCCUCUGUCCUAGGGUCAUGUGAGGCAGAAAUGAAGGAGUCAGGCAGAGAGACAGGGCAUGUGGCAAAUAGUUGUAUGUAUAAGGGAAUACAGUGUGGGUUAUUUUAAGUUCUUAGGCAAAUAUCUGACAGAUUCACUUAAAAGGAAACAGCGGAAGAGUGGGUAGUCCUAUUGAGAGACAGGACUAGCUGGAUUUCCUAAGUCGACUAAGAAUUCCUAAGCCCAGCUGGGGAAGGUUACCACACCCACCUUUAAACGCGGGGCUUGUAACUCAGCUCACACCGGACCCAUCAGGUAGUAAAUAGUGCUCACUAAAAUACCAAUUAGGGUAAAAGCAGGAGGUAAAGAAAUAGUCAAAUCAUCUACUGCCUGAGAGCACCGGGGAGAGACAAUGAUCGGAAAAUAAAUCCAGGCCUUUGUGCCAGCAGGGGCAACCCCCUCUGGGUCCCCUCCCAUUGUAUGUGAGCUCUGUUUUCAUUCUAUUAAAUCUUGCAACUGCACAUUCUUCUGGUCCGUGUUUCUGCCGGCUCAAACUGAGCUUUCGCUCUCCAUCCACCAUGGCUGAACGCCACAGUCGCAGACCUGCCGUUGACUUUCAUCCCUCUGGAUUUGGCAGGGUGUCCACUGAGCUUCUGAUUCAGCGAGGUGCUCAUUGCUGCUCCCAAUCAGGCUAGAGGCUCGCCAUUGUUCCUGCACCGGGAAGUGCCCGGGUUCAUCCUAAUUAGGCUGAACACUAGUCUCUGGGUUCCAUGGUUCUCUUCCGUGACCCACAGCUUCUAAUAGAGCUAUAACACUUACCGCAUGGCCCAAGGUUCCAUUCCUUGGAAUCCCUGAGGCCAAGAACCCCACGUCAGAGAACAAAAGGCUUGCUGCCAUCUUGGGAGCAGCCGGCCCCAUCUUGGGAGUGGCCCACCACCAUCUUGGGAGCUCUAAGAACAAAGACCUGCUGGUAACACUAUCUCUGGCCACCUAUCUCUGGCCUAUCUAUCUCUGGUUCCUAUCUCUGGCCAUGGCUUGAGCCAUUUGGGUGCAGUGAACAGGAAACUGUAAAGAGUGACAGCCCUGCUUCUACAAAAUGGAUGCCAAGUUGUUCCUGCGCGCUCACUCUCUCUCCUGCCACCUUGUGAUGAAGAUGCCUGCUUCCUCUUCUGUCAUGAUUGUGCUAUAUCAAUGAUCAUGGGCCCUAUUUCCCCAUUCUACUUUCUUUAUGAUGGUGAGCCAAGAACAGGACACACACAAUGCCAAUGCAUUUGUAGUUGAUACUACAUUUGUGGUCUCAUGGAAAGAGCACAGGAUGCAGAAUUAGUAUGCACAGAGGUUACACCUCCUCCCUCCUUAAAUAGCACUUAGUGUAAUUGAUGCCAAGUUAAUCCCUGUGCUGCCAAGAGAAGUGUCCAUGGGGUAGGAACCGCAUGCUGUUUUACCUGUGCUUAAAGAGGAAAGUGUCACGCGUCUCUGAAGAAACAAUGUUGACUGAAAAAUAGCGCCAAGUCUCAAACAAGAUCUUUGUGAAAAAUAAAGCAUGAAGCACAAAAUGAGAGAAUGACUAAAACUGAGGCUUAGUUAUGCAAGUUGUCUCCAGUCACACAACUGAAGACUUUUUUAAAUAGCCAGAAGUGGUGAAUUUGACAGUAAAGGACAAGAAGAGAAAGUUCUCAGACCUGAACAGGAAAAAAUGGUGCCUGGACACUACAAACAAUCUUCAUGUGCACUGAUCGGACAAUAAGUGAAUGGGUAAAUUUCUUUUCUCUAUCCCAUAUUCUGAAUCUUCAUCAUUAAAUCACUGUAACUUUUGUAAUAUAAUAUUUAGUAAAAUUGUGUAUGCAGACAAGGACCCAACACACCCUAGAAAAGGCCCUGCAUUAGGGAACUGGGCUAUGGAAAGCAUUAUGUAUCUGUUUCUGCACUGUGUGGCUAUAUAAACUCUGACAAGAUUUUGUGACAUUGGCUCAAUACAUAAGGAACUUAAAUCUAAUGGCAGAUGAGUACAUGCUCUUUCUGUCAAUCCACAGACCACCUGAAAUGUUGCAUAAACUAGCGUCUCUUUUUAUUUAAUCAAUUUUAUUUUUUAGUGGUUUUAAGUUCACAGAAAAGUUCAGUGGAAAGUACAAAUAAUUCCCACAUAUUCCCUGCCCCCAUGCCACAACCUCCACAACUAUGAACAUACUUGCACCACAGUGGCACAUUUGUUACCAGUGAUGCACCUUCUCACACAUCAUCACCUAAAGUUUAUAGUUUACAUUAGAGUUCACUCUUGGUGUUGUAACAAACGGAUUUUAACAAAUGGAUCAUGACACGAUCUACUCUUGUAGUAUCACACAGAAUAAUUUAACUGGCCUGAAAAUCUCCUGUGUUCCACCAUCCUCCCUAGCCACCCAACCUAUAGCAAUAAUUUAUCUUUUUCCAGUCUCUAUUGUUUUGCCUUUUCCACAGUAUCAUAUAGUGGAAAUCAUUCAGUAUGUAGCUUUUUCAGAUCUUUCACUCUGUAAUAUGCAUUUAACGUUACCCCAUGUCUUUUCAUGACUUGAUGGUUUAUUCCUUUUUAGCACUAAAUAAUAUUCCAUUGUCUGAAUAUAUUAGUUCAUUUAUUCAUUUGCAUAUUGGUUACUUCCAAGUUUUGGAAAUUAUGAAUUGAGCUGCUAUAAACAUUCAUGUGCAAGUUUUGUAUGAACAUAAGUUUUCACAUCAUAUGGGUAAAUAUUAAGGAGUGUGAUUUGCUAGGUUAUACGGUAAGAGUAUGCUUAAUUGUUGUUUUUAUGUAAAGAUGGAGUCUUGCUCUGUCACCCAGGCUGGAGAGUAGUGGUACAAUCAUGGUUCACUGCAGUCUCAAACGCCUGAGUUCAAGCGAUCCUCCUCCCUCAGCCUCCCAAGUAGCUGGGACUACAGGCACACACCACCAUGCCUGGCUAAUUUUUUCAAUUUAUUUUUUGUAGAGACAGGGUAUUGCUAUAUUUCCCAGGCUCGUCUCAAAUUCCUGGUGUCAAAUGAUCCUCCCACAGUGUUGGGAUUACAGGUGUGAGGUAUAUGCUUAGUUUUUUAAGAAACUGCCAAACUGUCUCCCAAAGCAUCUAUACCAUUUUGUAUUCCCACCAGUAAUGAAUGAGAGUCUCAGCUGCUCCAUGUCCUCAACAGGAUUUGGUAUUUCUUUAAAAAAGUAAUUAACAAAAUAUCUGUAUUUGAAAAGUGUCUUAAAUAAUACUGUACAUAUGUUUGGUGACUAAUAUAUAUGUACUGAAUAAAACUAUAAUACUCUAACUGAUGGAUACACAGCAUAUAUUAUUCUUGUAUCUUUUCCUAGAAAGCCUUGGGCUACUCUAAAUCUGUAAUACGUAUUUCAACUUCUCUACUUACAUGUACUAUAUUAUAGCAAUUUCUAUUGAGUUAUAAUCCAUAUUCACUCUCCUGAUUUGCUAAAGUCACAGAGGCUUUCAUCCCUAGUUUCUAAAGUGCUAAUACUAGUUUUUUCAGGCUUGUUUUUAACUUUUAUUUUAAGUUCAGGGGUACAUAUGCAGGUUUGUUACAUAGGUUAAUUGUGUAUCAUGGGGAUCUAAUGUACAGAUUAUUUCAUCACCCAGGUAAUAGGCAUAGUAUCCAAUAGGUAGGAGUUGAUUUUUUGUAUAACGUGUAAGGAAGAGGUCCAGUUUCGAUUUUCUGUAUAUGGCUAGCCAUUUACCCUAGCAUCAUUUAUUGAAUACAGAGUCCUUUCCUCAUUGCUUGUUUUUUGUUGACUUUGUCAAAGAUCAGAUGAUGUUAGCUGUACAGCUUUAUUUUUGGGCUCUCCAUUCUGUCGUAUUGGUCUAUUAUCUGUUUUUGUACCAGUACUAUGCUGUUUUGGUUACUGUAGCCUUGUAAUAACAGUUUGAAGUUGGGUUAACAUGAUGCCUCUAGCUUUGUUCUUUUUGUUUAUGAUUGCCUUGGCUAUUCAAACUCUUUUUUGGUUCCAUAUGAAUUUUAAAAUAGUUUUUCCUAAUUCUAAUUCCUUCCCAAUUCAAGCAGUUUCCCAGCUUCCCUGUCACAUCCUUGGGUAAUUUCCCACUGCCACUCACCGCAUACUAGACAUAAUUAAAUAUUUUAAUGUGCACUCACUGUUUUUUUUAUGGAGUACAGAGUAUA
rnacentral:lncRNA from 1 species